AAUAAUGUCCCUCAUCUCCAAAGAUGUCCGUGUCCUAUCUCCUAAUCACAAGAACCUAUGAAUACGUUGCUUUACAUGGCAAAGGGACUUUGAGGAUGUCAUUAGAGGUCCUGAGAUUAGUGACUUCAACAUGAAUUUUGGGGAACAUGUUCAGCACAUAACAUAGAUGAAAGAAGAGUGUCAUGAGCCAAGGAAUGUAGGUGGCCCGAAGAAGCUGGAGAAGGCAAGGAAAUGGAUUUUUCCCUAGAGCCUCCAGAAGGGAAAGCAGCUCUGAUGAUGCCUUAGUUUUAACCCAGUGAAAACCAUGUCAAAUUUCUAACCUACAGAACUAUUAGAAAAUCAAUUUAUGUUGUUUUAAGCCACUAAAUUUGAGAUUUUUUUGUCAUGUUAGUAACAGAAAGCUAAUGGAAUGUCAAAACUUAAGGACCAAAUAAAUACAUCUUGAGACCCUACUCUGUAUCCAUCUAUUAUUAUGGGCAGUAAUCUACCUCAAAAGGCUAGUGUCCAUUUCCACUUGUUCCAUAAAAAACACCCCAAAACACAGUGGCUGAAAAUAUCACUCAUUUAUUUUGGGUCAAAUGUCUUAGUGAGCUGGGAUUAGACUGCUCAAGGGAAGGUAGUUUUGGGGGCUGGUGAGGCUCUACUUCUCCUUACAGGUCUGUGAGUUAGCUGAGGUGGCUUUGCUCCACACAUAUCCUUAAUCUAGGACCAGCUAGCUGCCAGACGUGUUCUUAUCAUAAUGACAGAGACUCAAGAGAACAAGCCUAUAUACCUCUUAAAGUCAAAUCUUAGACUGAAGUACUGUCACUUCCAACCACAUGCCUUUGGCCAAAUAUUGUCACAUGGCCAAGUCCAAAAUCAAAGGGCAGAGAAAUAUACUCUGCUCAUAAUGACACCCAUAAGAACAUGUCAAGAACAUGGAUGCAGAGAGAGGUGAGGAUCUGGAGUCAUAAUGCAUUCUACCAGGGAUGCUGGUCCAGUUGCAGAGAUAACUAAUAAAUAUGAGACAACAAAUGUGACUUGUAUAAUAGAGGGUGAAAGUACUGAUGUACUAGGAAGUAUAAACUAAAAAAGUAUUAUCAUAUUGCCUGUUCUUUUGCUUAUAUCUAAAAUGUAUCUGCUCUGUCUUGCACAUAUAUGGAAAAACAUUUCACCAUGUUCAUAUUAAAAAAAUGGGGAAUAUAACAAGGAAUUUAGUGGUCUUAAAUUGAAAUUGAAUUUAAUACUUGUUUUCAUAAGAGAUCCCAAAUAUUCUUAAAACCAACAAAUAAUAAUCAUACGAAAUAUCUGAAGUUUUGUUUGAAUGGAAGAGAAUAAGCUUGGAAAAUUCUGACUCAAAAUAUUAAAUUACUUUCUGUAGUAAAUUGCAAAGUGGCCACAAAAUUAUCCCACCCUUAUUUGCAUGCUCCUUUGCAAUAUGACUUUGCAGCUCCUCCAAUCAGAAAAAUUGAGCCUUUUUUUCCACCUCUAAAAUCUGGGUAUGGCCGUGUGAUUUGCCUUAGCCCUGGGACAUUAGCAAACGUAAAGCAAUUAGCUUUAAAAGCUCUUGAACAUUGGGCCUGUUUCUUUCUUGCUGUGGGACCCCUUCCACAACGAGGUGAACAAGCAUGGGCUGUCCUCCUAGAGGUAGCUGGAAAACCAUGUCAAGAGAAUUAAUGGCCAUUCCAGGUGUCCAGUUGUUCCAUCUGAGGGUGCAGACAUACAAGUGAGGUGAUCCUAGACUACUGAGCCCCAGCCAAGCUUGUCCAAACCAGAAGAACCAAUAAGCAACCCAUAGAAGCAUAAGGAAUGAUAAAUGUUUGUCCCAUUAAGACACUAAAUGUUGGGAUAGUUUGUUAUUCAAAAACUGCUUACUGGUCAACCCCCCUGGCAAGUGAGGUCUUGUUGCUGACAAGUGUAAAAAGACCCAGAAUUCAAACCCAAAACAUUUCAGUCCCAACCUGGGGGACUGAGAGCUCUUAAAAGGUGGCAGAAUUCAUGUGCACAGCUCUGUAAUACACAUGUACACCAUGCAUUGUCUAUAAUAAUAUUGACAAUGGCAAUAUUAAUCAUAGGUAUCACACUCUUGCUAUGUAUCUAGAAGUGUAUUAAUGGUGUGCCUUGAUUAUUUCGUUUAACCCUAAGCACAAACCUAGGUGGUGGGUCUUAUUACCUAUUUUACAGAUGAGGAAAUUCUCAGAGGUAGAAACUUGUCUUGUGUCACCAACCAGCCACCUGACACUUGAGCACACACUCUUAAUAAAUAUCCCUCACUGAGUAAAAAAAUGCCUUGUGCAUAAAGAUACUAAUAUUUCUCAAAUGUGCAUAGAUUGCAUUGUGAUGCAUAAAAUAUAAAGAUAUUUAAUGAUACUCCUGGUUGUAAAAUAGCAUUUAAACGCUGUUUUAUUUUUACAUUAACAUGGCAUUAUUAUAUUCAAAUAACUGUCAGAUCAAUUUAUCUAUUUUUCCUUACCUAUACACAGAGCCAGAUAACUGAGAUUCACUAAUUAAUAUAUUUAUAUAUUUCUUUAACAGAAAAUUAUUAAUCCUCUCCUAUGCAAAAUUUUCUUUAAGAAAUAGAUAUUUUUGUAAAUUUUGAAUUUCCUCUUCCCCCUAA
rnacentral:lncRNA from 10 species